CCCACGGGAGGCAGCAGUGGGGAAUAUUGGGCAAUGGGCGCAAGCCUGACCCAGCAACGCCGCGUGAAGGAAGAAGGCUUUCGGGUUGUAAACUUCUUUUCUCAGGGACGAAGCAAGUGACGGUACCUGAGGAAUAAGCCACGGCUAACUACGUGCCAGCAGCCGCGGUAAUACGUAGGUGGCAAGCGUUAUCCGGAUUUACUGGGUGUAAAGGGCGUGUAGGCGGGAAAGCAAGUCAGAUGUGAAAACCAUGGGCUCAACCUGUGGCCUGCAUUUGAAACUGUUUUUCUUGAGUACUGGAGAGGCAGACGGAAUUCCUAGUGUAGCGGUGAAAUGCGUAGAUAUUAGGAGGAACACCAGUGGCGAAGGCGGUCUGCUGGACAGCAACUGACGCUGAGGCGCGAAAGCGUGGGGAGCAAACAGGAUUAGAUACCCGGGUAGUC
rnacentral:rRNA from 1 species